AUGUCCAGCAGCCAGUGGAUCUGUGAUGCAUCAGGAGGGCAGAGUGCUGGAGGCCCAGGACUGCGACAGUUAUGUUCUUUAUUCCAUCCUCAAAUUCUGUCCCCUUCCACAGAGUUCACAGACGCUGGAGUCAUCCAGAUACCCAUGCACAAGGUGACAACGAUGGGACAAGGAGUAACUCUAGGAUGCGAGCCUAUUUCUGGUCACGCGGUCCUCUUCUGGCACAGACAGACUUCAGGGCAGGGAUGGAAGCUGCUGAUUUACUUCAACAAUCAAUCUCCUGUGGAUUACUCGGGGAUGCCCAAGGAACGGUUCUCGGCAGAGAUGUCUGACAAAUUAUUCUCCAUCCUGAAGAUCCAGCCAAUAGAACCUGGGGACUCAGCCACGUACCUGUGUGCCAGCAGUGUAGACACAGUACUGCAGAGACACCCCUUCCCUGUGCAGAAACCCGGAAGCUUCCCCUUCUCCCUCCAGCCCCCAGCUGUCCUCAGCAGUCUUUCAUAGCUUUUCCUCCGCCAGCAAAAGGAUGUGG